AGUUAUGAGAAGUGGGUAGAACAAAGUUCCACCACAACCCAUCUGAGAGAGAGAUUGAGAUUGAAGGAAGAGUUUGUUCUUCUUCAAAGUCGUCGUCGUUGUCUUCUUCUUCUUCUUCUGCU
rnacentral:sRNA from 1 species